GUGUCAGCAGCCGCGGUAAUACGUAGGGGGCAAGCGUUGUCCGGAAUUAUUGGGCGUAAAGAGCGUGUAGGCGGUCCGGUAAGUCGGCCGUAAAAGUCCAGGGCUCAACCCUGGAAAGCCGACCGAUACUGCCGGACUAGAGUUCGGAAGAGGCGAGUGGAAUUCCCGGUGUAGCGGUGAAAUGCGCAGAUAUCGGGAGGAACACCAAUAGCGAAGGCAGCUCGCUGGGACGUUACUGACGCUGAGACGCGAAAGCGUGGGGAGCGAACAGGAUUAGAAACCCCCGUAGUCC
rnacentral:rRNA from 1 species